rnacentral:lncRNA from 1 species
AUGAAAAGGUUAAAAUUUAAAAUGUUUAUCGUCAAAAAUCGUUGGUUUAGAAAGGUGAAAAGUGGAAUUUCUAAAACUGUAGUUAUCGCAAUUACCAUGUUAUUAUCAUUAUUAUCAUUUACUUUGAAUUUUUUUUUUUUCAGAAAAGAGCAGAUGUUAAACACAAAAUCUCCUUUAUCAGUUGAAGAAACUUCAAAUUCCAGAGCAUUAACUGUUCAGCGGGACAAAAAAAACGGACCAUCAAUUUCUAAAAACGCUUCCAAACUUCAAAAAACUCAUACUGAUGAAAACCCUCCUCCAAAACAGCUCAAAAGGGAUCAGGAGGAGAUAUAAAAUCUACGGAGAGCAAUUCUCUUCUUUUCGAAGAUGAAAGUGAUACUGAGGAUGAAUCAGAAGAUGAAAGUGAUACUGAGGAUGAUUCAGAAGCUGAGAACAAAAUCACCUCAGAUGAAAAUGGAAGUAACAGUGAAGAAGUUGAAGGUGACAUUCUUUCUAGAUUCCAGAAUUUUAGUGGAUGAAGUCAUUUCUUUUUUUAUCUGUUUCUUACUAUAUUGAGAAAAAAGAAAAAUCCACGCUGACCACAGGAUAAAGGAUAUUUAGAGGCCCAUGCAAGGUGAAAAAGUAACUUUUAAAUAAUUAUUUACCACACUUUUGGAGGCAGAAAGUCAGAAGAAGGCACAUAGAAAGUAGAUGACCAAAGAUAUUUUCAUCAGUCUCUUUGGGUUGACAAAAGCUAGGGCAAGGGUCUCGGCAGUCUGGAAAACCUGGAAAGUCAACAAUUUUUGCUAGUAGCACGUUGGCUCAACUUUGCCUGGUGCCAUUCGAGAGAGUGCAAACAACUUCCAAGUGCCUUUUUCCUUAAUUCAAAUCGUGUGAAAGUAAAGAUUUCAUCCAUACUUUAGCAAAAGUCAUAAUAAUGAAAAUUUAAAAAUCCGAGUGGAGGUUUUGAUUAAAGGUCAGGAAAAGUCAGAGAAUUCAGAUUCAAAGAAGAGCAAAAAAGUGAGGGAAUUGAGAAAUAAAAAAAUUAUGGAAACUCCUGCUUUAGCAAGUGGCCCCAUCUCUCUUUUUCCAACACCACAAACUUAAUCGCAUGAAAACUAAAGCUACCUAUUUUUAUGUGCUUCAUCAGUAAUUAAUUUUUCAACAGCAUAUCAACUUAGACUAACAAGGGGAGUCUAUGGAGUGACAUCCUGGGAUUGGGUUUUUUAUGAAUUAUGAAUUUAUUUGAAAGAUUCAGAGAGAUGCAAAUUAGUCAGAAGUAUAGAAAUUCGAAAUGACAUUAAUGCUGGACGUAUCAGAGAUUCUUAUUUGUCAACUACAGUGAAGAUGGAAAAAAAAUUAUACAAUAUCUUAAUAAAAUCCUGCUUCGAAGUUUCAUUUCCUAACUUCUCUUUGCGUCUCAAAGGGGAUGAAAAGAGAUAAGUGACAGAUUUGCAAUAAAGAGGAGCAAUACAUUGAACAGGGAGAAACAGCCAUCUGUGUCGAACAAUUUGCAAAAAAACGAACAUUCAUCGAAAAAUUAAGGAAAAAAUUGUAAUGGCCUGGAACUAUUUACUUUGGUGCCUCCUGGACCCUGUGAUGUUGAUUUUAAAAUACUCUGGCACUGUUAAAAUAUAAAAACUGCUAGAUGCUUGUAUUGGAUUUUUCCUAGUUUGACAAAAAUUCACACCAAAGAAUGAUAUUUCAACCUCCUACCUUCACCAACAGAAGUUAGGUUGACGUUACCACCUCACAGAAACUAAGAACUAAUAUAUUACAUCAGAAGGAAGUUUGUACAUAGAACCUUGAGCUUCAUAUGUCUUUUUAACAUUAAUCCGUCCAUUGGAUUGCAUGUAAGCGUGUGAAUGAAUUACUGUAAGAGGGAAUAAUUCCAGUUAAUGGAUAGCUCUUCUCAGGCCAUGAUGCUUUAAAAACGCCGUAUCAUGAGUAGCUCAAUUUUAUUGUUAAAGCACUCUUCUUCUUUCAAAAAGGCAGAAAUUAAAGAUAUCUGAACAAAUUCAGAAACUAGGUACAAACUACAUAGGUACAUUAAAAGGAAUUAUGAUGCAUGCAAAUCCUAGAUGCAAUCAUCAUCACAACAGUAGGCAUAAGAACAUCCCUAAUAAAAUGAUUCGAUUGAGACGGACUGAGCAGGAUGUUAAAUUUUCGGCAAUACAGAUGUUCAACGCACUGCCUUGGAGUGUGAAGCUACACUUUCGAAAUGCUGACCUAACG